UAGGUGGGAGGCUUUGAAGUGUGGACGCCAGUCUGCAUGGAGCCGACCUUGAAAUACCACCCUUUAAUGUUUGAUGUUCUAACGUGGACCCGUGAUCCGGGUUGCGGACAGUGUCUGGUGGGUAGUUUGACUGGGGCGGUCUCCUCCUAAAGAGUAACGGAGGAGCACGAAGGUUGGCUAAUCCUGGUCGGACAUCAGGAGGUUAGUGCAAUGGCAUAAGCCAGCUUGACUGCGAGCGUGACGGCGCGAGCAGGUGCGAAAGCAGGUCAUAGUGAUCCGGUGGUUCUGAAUGGAAGGGCCAUCGCUCAACGGAUAAAAGGUACUCCGGGGAUAACAGGCUGAUACCGCCCAAGAGUUCAUAUCGACGGCGGUGUUUGGCACCUCGAUGUCGGCUCAUCACAUCCUGGGGCUGAAGUAGGUCCCAAGGGUAUGGCUGUUCGCCAUUUAAAGUGGUACGCGAGCUGGGUUUAGAACGUCGUGAGACAGUUCGGUCCCUAUCUGCCGUGGGCGCUGGAGAACUGAGGGGGGCUGCUCCUAGUACGAGAGGACCGGAGUGGACGCAUCACUGGUGUUCGGGUUGUCAUGCCAAUGGCACUGCCCGGUAGCUAAAUGCGGAAGAGAUAAGUGCUGAAAGCAUCUAAGCACGAAACUUGCCCCGAGAUGAGUUCUCCCUGAGACUUUAGGUCUCCUGAAGGAACGUUGAAGACGACGACGUUGAUAGGCCGGGUGUGUAAGCGCAGCGAUGCGUUGAGCUAACCGGUACUAAUGAACCGUGAGGCUUAACCUUACAACGCCGAAG
rnacentral:rRNA from 1 species